rnacentral:lncRNA from 1 species
UUUGCCCUUAUUCUCACCAACUAGGUGAUGAAGGAACUCACCUUCGUACCACCAACUAGGUGAUGAAAUGUACAACCCGUACUCUAAUAUUAUUUGGAAACUUGCCACCCUUAUCACCAAUCAGGUGAAGAAUGAACUCAUCUUCAUGCCACCAACCAGGUGAUGAAAUGUACAACGUGUACUUUCCUUCAUGCCACCAACCAGGUGAUGAAAUGUACAACGCAUACUCUCUUUCAUGUCACCAACCAGGUGAUGAAAUGUGAUGAAAGGUGAUUAAGGAAUUCACAUUCG